AGAGUUUGAUCCUGGCUCAGGACGAACGCUGGCGGCGUGCCUAAUACAUGCAAGUAGAACGCUGAAGAGAGGAGCUUGCUCUUCUUGGAUGAGUUGCGAACGGGUGAGUAACGCGUAGGUAACCUGCCUUGUAGCGGGGGAUAACUAUUGGAAACGAUAGCUAAUACCGCAUAACAAUGGAUGACACAUGUCAUUUAUUUGAAAGGGGCAAUUGCUCCACUACAAGAUGGACCUGCGUUGUAUUAGCUAGUAGGUGAGGUAACGGCUCACCUAGGCGACGAUACAUAGCCGACCUGAGAGGGUGAUCGGCCACACUGGGACUGAGACACGGCCCAGACUCCUACGGGAGGCAGCAGUAGGGAAUCUUCGGCAAUGGGGGCAACCCUGACCGAGCAACGCCGCGUGAGUGAAGAAGGUUUUCGGAUCGUAAAGCUCUGUUGUAAGAGAAGAACGAGUGUGAGAGUGGAAAGUUCACACUGUGACGGUAGCUUACCAGAAAGGGACGGCUAACUACGUGCCAGCAGCCGCGGUAAUACGUAGGUCCCGAGCGUUGUCCGGAUUUAUUGGGCGUAAAGCGAGCGCAGGCGGUUAGAAAAGUCUGAAGUGAAAGGCAGUGGCUCAACCAUUGUAGGCUUUGGAAACUGUUUAACUUGAGUGCAGAAGGGGAGAGUGGAAUUCCAUGUGUAGCGGUGAAAUGCGUAGAUAUAUGGAGGAACACCGGUGGCGAAAGCGGCUCUCUGGUCUGUAACUGACGCUGAGGCUCGAAAGCGUGGGGAGCGAACAGGAUUAGAUACCCUGGUAGUCCACGCCGUAAACGAUGAGUGCUAGGUGUUAGGUCCUUUCCGGGACUUAGUGCCGCAGCUAACGCAUUAAGCACUCCGCCUGGGGAGUACGACCGCAAGGUUGAAACUCAAAGGAAUUGACGGGGGCCCGCAC
rnacentral:rRNA from 1 species